GGUUACUCUAUUAUUAUUGCUCCAAUCUAGACACUGGUCUCCCGGAAGGCAGGCAUCCCAUCUCCUCUCUGUUCCCCCAGCACUUUCCACAGAGCAGGUGCUCAUAUAUGACGUUGCCUUCGCUGUCCAGGUGAAUUGCACCGGUAAUUACCGUGGAGCAGGAAGCCAGCACUUCCGGGCUUGCCAGGCUGUCCUGCUUGGAGAACCCCUCUGCUUCCACCUCUGCUAACUCCUCCCCUCCACCCUCUCCGCGGUUCUGUAUCUGCGGAAACCGGUUCUGCUCAGGUGCUUGGGAGGGAGACUCCUUUCUCAAGACUUGCGAGGUCACCUUCAGGUGACUGUCCCUCAAAUCUCCGCAGCAGCUCCAGGACACACUGUGCCCCGAGUCAGGAUUGGAUCAACACACAGGACGCACCUGUGUUAUCACUCCACCAGUAGAGCGGCACUCAGUGGUAGUGUAGACAGUCCUAGGGCAGGGCAGCUUCUAUAACAAGAGGUUCCUUAGGGAGCUAGCGGCCGAGUGGAAAGAGCGGGAGGAACGGCUCGGGCAGGCAGGUCCUGUGCUGUGGUCUAAGUCACUUCCCACGUCCGUCCCACUCUGAUCGUCAGUUUCCUCCUCUGCAAAACUCACUAAGGCGGCCUUCGGGCAAGUCAUCGCGGCGGGAAUUAGAUUCGAAAGAGUGCUUACACAAAUCCGUCUGGCCACCCUGUGCCCCGGGCCAGCGCGAGGUGGGGGUGCGGGCAGGGCUCCCGGGCUUGCGGCUGCCACGCCCCUCCCAGCCCGCCGCGCCACACUCACGGCCCACGGGCCGACUUUGCGAGCCUCCAGGGGGCGAACCCGACCGCCUUCUUUGCCCGCGCAGCGCCUCGGCCGUCCAGCCUGUGACUUCACCAGCGUCCCCGGGCCAGCGGGACACCCGAGAGCCCGGGGCGCCGCCCGUUCUCCCAGCCGGCAGGUGCCGGGAGCCAGCCUCGCCCAGCCGCGUGGCGUCCGCAGGCCCGAAGGGGUUAAGGCCGCGGACCCGGGCGCCCGUCCGGACUCCGGGAGCAGCGGUGCCCGGCGGCCGGCGAUCGAGCGGGAGGCUCGGGGCACGGCCGCUGGCGGGCUGCG
rnacentral:lncRNA from 10 species